ACAGCGACGAGCGCGACUGCUGCACCGGCGACCACUUCGUGUGUGGCAACGGCAAAUGCAUCCACAAGCGUUGGGAAUGCGACGGCUGGAGCGACCAAUGCGGGGACUGGAGUGAUGAGAAGCAUUGCGCGUGCCGCUCCGAUCAGUUCAAGUGCGCCGACAGCGGCCGCUGCAUACCUGAGACGCAGAGGUGCAACGGAAUCAACUACUGUGACGACGACAGCGACGAGCGCGACUGCUGCACCGGUGAACACUUCGUGUGCGACAACGGCAGAUGCGUCCACAAGCGUGAUGAAUGCGACGGUUUUAACAACUGCGGGGACUUAAGUGAUGAG
rnacentral:lncRNA from 1 species